rnacentral:tRNA from 1 species
CUCCCUGUAGCUCAGUUGGUAGAGCAUGGUGUUUGCAACGCCAGGGUUGUGGGUUUGAUUCCCACAGGGGGC